rnacentral:rRNA from 1 species
CUACGGGACGCUGCAGUGGGGAAUAUUGCACAAUGGACGAAAGUCUGAUGCAGCAACGCCGCGUGGAGGAUGACACAUUUCGGUGCGUAAACUCCUUUUAUAUAGGAAGAUAAUGACGGUACUAUAUGAAUAAGCACCGGCUAACUCCGUGCCAGCAGCCGCGGUAAUACGGAGGGUGCAAGCGUUACUCGGAAUCACUGGGCGUAAAGAGCGUGUAGGCGGGUUAAUAAGUUGGAAGUGAAAUCCUAUGGCUCAACCAUAGAACUGCUUCCAAAACUGUUAACCUAGAAUAUGGGAGAGGUAGAUGGAAUUUCUGGUGUAGGGGUAAAAUCCGUAGAGAUCAGAAGGAAUACCGAUUGCGAAGGCGAUCUACUGGAACAUUAUUGACGCUGAGACGCGAAAGCGUGGGGAGCAAACAGGAUUAGAUACCCGUGUAGUC